UACGUAGGGGGCAAGCGUUGUCCGGAUUUAUUGGGCGUAAAGCGCUCGCAGGUGGUCCGAUGCGUCGUGCGUGAAAGACCCCGGCUCAACUGGGGGGUGUCGUGCGAUACGGUCGGACUGGAGGCCAGUAGGGGGAUGCGGAAUUCCUGGUGUAGCGGUGGAAUGCGCAGAUAUCAGGAGGAACACCGAUGGCGAAGGCGGCUCACUGGACCGUUGUUGACGCUGAGGUGCGAAAGCGUGGGGAGCAAACAGG
rnacentral:rRNA from 1 species